rnacentral:rRNA from 1 species
UACGGAGGGUGCAAGCGUUAUCCGGAUUCACUGGGUUUAAAGGGUGCGUAGGCGGGCAUUUAAGUCAGUGGUGAAAUACCUGAGCUUAACUUGGGAACUGCCAUUGAUACUAUUUGUCUUGAAUGUCGUGGAGGUUAGCGGAAUAUGUCAUGUAGCGGUGAAAUGCUUAGAUAUGACAUAGAACACCGAUUGCGAAGGCAGCUAACUACGCGAAUAUUGACGCUGAGGCACGAAAGCGUGGGGAGCAAACAGG